UUUGGCUUAAAUGUGAUCCCAUGUGAUUUGCCUUAGAUAUGAAACUACUUUGAAUGACAUGUGGAUGCCUGGAACUGCAGAGCCAAACCCAAGCUUGUUCAAAACCUUGGAAUGUCCCAGCAGCAUCCCACUUCUUUGGACAGACAUCAGCUGCAGUCUAGUAUGUGAGUUUUGCAAAGGAGGAGGAAGGAGGAGGAGACCUCGGUGCAAGCAAAGCACAAAAACAAGGAAGAGAAAUAGAGCAGCAUGCACUUCAGCCAAGAGAGGAAGCAUCAGCUAAAAUCAUGCACAAAAUAAAACUGGUUCUGGACCAUUCUGACCACAUAACUACUCAUAACCAUGGCCUUCCUCAGGGAGACAACAUCAGCCAAAUAUUCCUCAUUGACACUAGUGAAAAUCCAGGUGCCUCUUCCCAUAUAUCUAUUUUCUCUUUACAGUACCAG
rnacentral:lncRNA from 1 species